rnacentral:rRNA from 1 species
UCAGAUUGAACGCUGGCGGCAGGCCUAACACAUGCAAGUCGAGCGGUAACAUUUCUAGCUUGCUAGAAGAUGACGAGCGGCGGACGGGUGAGUAAUACUUGGGGAUCUGCCUGAUGGCGGGGGACAACCACUGGAAACGGUGGCUAAUACCGCAUAAUGCCUACGGGCCAAAGUGUGGGACCUUCGGGCCACAUGCCAUCAGAUGAACCCAAGCGAGGUUAGCUAGUUGGUGAGGUAACGGCUCACCAAGGCGACGAUCUCUAGCUGGUCUGAGAGGAUGAUCAGCCACACUGGGACUGAGACACGGCCCAGACUCCUACGGGAGGCAGCAGUGGGGAAUAUUGGACAAUGGGCGCAAGCCUGAUCCAGCCAUGCCGCGUGUGUGAAGAAGGCCUUCGGGUUGUAAAGCACUUUCAGUGGUGAGGAAGGCGUUGUAGUUAAUAGCUGCAACGAUUGACGUUAGCCACAGAAGAAGCACCGGCUAACUCCGUGCCAGCAGCCGCGGUAAUACGGAGGGUGCGAGCGUUAAUCGGAAUUACUGGGCGUAAAGCGCACGUAGGCGGUUUGUUAAGCAAGAUGUGAAAGCCCAGGGCUCAACCUUGGAAUUGCAUUUUGAACUGGCAAGCUAGAGUUUUGAAGAGGGUGGUAGAAUUUCCAGUGUAGCGGUGAAAUGCGUAGAUAUUGGAAGGAAUAC